ACACGUGGGUAACCUGCCUGUAAGACUGGGAUAACUCCGGGAAACCGGAGCUAAUACCGGAUAGUUCCUUGAACCGCAUGGUUCAAGGAUGAAAGACGGUUUCGGCUGUCACUUACAGAUGGACCCGCGGCGCAUUAGCUAGUUGGUGAGGUAACGGCUCACCAAGGCGACGAUGCGUAGCCGACCUGAGAGGGUGAUCGGCCACACUGGGACUGAGACACGGCCCAGACUCCUACGGGAGGCAGCAGUAGGGAAUCUUCCGCAAUGGACGAAAGUCUGACGGAGCAACGCCGCGUGAGUGAUGAAGGUUUUCGGAUCGUAAAGCUCUGUUGUUAGGGAAGAACAAGUGCAAGAGUAACUGCUUGCACCUUGACGGUACCUAACCAGAAAGCCACGGCUAACUACGUGCCAGCAGCCGCGGUAAUACGUAGGUGGCAAGCGUUGUCCGGAAUUAUUGGGCGUAAAGGGCUCGCAGGCGGUUUCUUAAGUCUGAUGUGAAAGCCCCCGGCUCAACCGGGGAGGGUCAUUGGAAACUGGGAAACUUGAGUGCAGAAGAGGAGAGUGGAAUUCCACGUGUAGCGGUGAAAUGCGUAGAGAUGUGGAGGAACACCAGUGGCGAAGGCGACUCUCUGGUCUGUAACUGACGCUGAGGAGCGAAAGCGUGGGGAGCGAACAGGAUUAGAUACCCUGGUAGUCCACGCCGUAAACGAUGAGUGCUAAGUGUUAGGGGUUUCCGCCCCUUAGUGCUGCAGCUAACGCAU
rnacentral:rRNA from 1 species